CCUACGGGGGGCAGCAGUGAGGAAUAUUGGUCAAUGGACGAGAGUCUGAACCAGCCAAGUAGCGUGAAGGAUGACUGCCCUAUGGGUUGUAAACUUCUUUUAUAUGGGAAUAAAACGUUCCACGUGUGGGAUUUUGUAUGUACCAUAUGAAUAAGGAUCGGCUAACUCCGUGCCAGCAGCCGCGGUAAUGCGGAGGAUCCGAGCGUUAUCCGGAUUUAUUGGGUUUAAAGGGAGCGUAGGUGGAUUGUUAAGUCAGUUGUGAAAGUUUGCGGCUCAACCGUAAAAUUGCAGUUGAAACUGGCAGUCUUGAGUACAGUAGAGGUGGGCUGAAUUCGUGGUGUAGCGGUGAAAUGCUUAGAUAUCACGAAGAACUCCGAUUGCGAAGGCAGUUCACUGGACUGCAACUGACACUGAGGCUCGAAAGUGUGGGUAUCAAACAGGAUUAGAUACCCCUGUAGUC
rnacentral:rRNA from 1 species